GGAGGGUAUAGCUCAAGUGGUAGAGUGCAUGCUUAGCAUGCAUGAGGUCCUGGGUUCAAUCCCCAGUGCCUCCA
rnacentral:tRNA from 1 species